CGACAUUUUGUUUCUCAUUUUUAGACGCAUCGUGUGUGAAACUUUUUCUGCGCAGCUAGACACCGUUCUCCAUAACUUAAAUAUAGUUUGCCACAUAUCCCCGACAAUAGAGCGAGUCAGUGAAAAAAUCCACAAACCGAACGCCAGUUUAUCAGGAAGAAAUAAGCGAAGAUGGCAGUAAAACGAAAUCCGGAAUCUGAUGGUCACCAUCAACGAAGCAGCGGUGUAUAUUUUCGAGUGCUGCUUCCUUCGUUAAAAAAUAUUCAUUAUUUCCAAAUUUCCAAAAAUCCAGUGUAUACUGGACCCGUAUCUGCUUUCCCGUAUUAUUCGAAUUCUCGUAGCGAAGUCUUAAAUAAUUCCGAUUAAUUGCGAAGAAGCAACAGAAGUGUUCAAUGAAAUAUAAAAAAAAUAUUCCGGAACCUACGAGUCACGUCGAAACAAAACCAAUAAUGGAUGAAUCGUUCCUAGUGGUAGUAGCAUUUUUUGGAAUCUUAAUCAGCCACAGCCUGGGCCCAUCAAUCGGGAAGUUUGAAAAGUCGCUCGGACUUGUGCGAGCAUUAUACAUAGGAAUGGUGUAUUGAAACGCAUUUCGAAUCAAUCCGCCCGGAAAAGUAACCGUACAGACCGACAACAUGAGUGGGCAGUAUCGGAAUGAUACUAAAAUACACAGCACAAAGUUACGAGCUGCAACGAAAUACUGAACUGUUUCAUCAGUUAAGCGACGGGCGACUGUCCGGACAGGAAAGGUAGUUUUUAAAAUAGAGGUUUGAUUAUGAACAGGUUGCAACAUUAAAAUCAGACAAAAAAAAUCCAGAGAACCGUGUG